GUAAGUCAUAAUAUUUACGCAGCACUCGCCCGGGGAGUGACGUGGAAGCUCUGCCGUUCUCUGAGCGCAGAACCUCGGGUGGAGACCACGGAUCGACUCCUCAAUUGUAGACACACUGGGACCUUAAGAAUGAGCCAGAAAAAAAAGCUCUGUCCCACACAACGCACGGGAGCCAUUGAAUGUUGCCCCACCCUGCGGCUGCGCACGCCUCCCGUGCAGGGCCGGUCCGUCACAAUGUUUCUGAUGCUGUCUGAGCCAUCAAUAAUAGGAGCUGAGACAUAAACCACAGCGGCCAGGGCAUGAGCAGAGCCUUGGUGGCCCGCCAUUGCAGACUGGAGUGGGCAGGCGUGCGGCUUUGGCCGCAGGAAGCUGUGAAUUCUUCGGAGAAUGGAAGAUGUCUUACAGGGAGACAUACGAGGCCCGCCCACGCCCAUUCGUUACCCCAAGAUGACCCCUGACCCAUCCGUAUGUUUAUA